rnacentral:rRNA from 1 species
UACGGAGGGUGCGAGCGUUAUCCGGAUUCACUGGGUUUAAAGGGUGCGUAGGUGGGUCUGUAAGUCAGUGGUGAAAUCUCCGGGCUUAACCUGGAAACUGCCAUUGAUACUAUAGAUCUUGAAUUUUCUGGAGGUAAGCGGAAUAUGUCAUGUAGCGGUGAAAUGCUUAGAUAUGACAUAGAACACCAAUUGCGAAGGCAGCUUGCUACAGGAACAUUGACACUGAGGCACGAAAGCGUGGGGAUCAAACAGG